rnacentral:rRNA from 1 species
ACGCACGCUGGCGGCGUGCUUAACACAUGCAAGUCGCACGGAAAGGCCCUGCUUUUGUGGGGUGCUCGAGUGGCGAACGGGUGAGUAACACGUGAGUAACCUGCCCUUGACUUUGGGAUAACUUCAGGAAACUGGGGCUAAUACCGGAUAGGAGCUCCUGCUGCAUGGUGGGGGUUGGAAAGUUUCGGCGGUUGGGGAUGGACUCGCGGCUUAUCAGCUUGUUGGUGGGGUAGUGGCUUACCAAGGCCUUGACGGGUAGCCGGCCUGAGAGGGUGACCGGCCACAUUGGGACUGAGAUACGGCCCAGACUCCUACGGGAGGCAGCAGUGGGGAAUAUUGCACAAUGGGCGGAAGCCUGAUGCAGCCACGCCGCGUGCGGGAUGACGGCCUUCGGGUUGUAAACCGCUUUCGCCUGUGACGAAGCGUGAGUGACGGUAAUGGGUAAAGAAGCACCGGCUAACUACGUG